UACAGAGGGUGCAAGCGUUGUUCGGAAUUACUGGGCGUAAAGGGCGCGUAGGCGGUUUAUCAAGUGAGAUGUGAAAUCCCCGGGCUUAACCUGGGAACUGCAUCUUAAACUGAUAGGCUGGAGUACUGUAGAGGAUAGUGGAAUUUCCGGUGUAGCGGUGAAAUGCGUAGAGAUCGGAAGGAACAUCAGUGGCGAAGGCGACUGUCUGGACAGAUACUGACGCUGAGGCGCGAAAGCGUGGGGAGCAAACAGG
rnacentral:rRNA from 1 species